rnacentral:rRNA from 1 species
AGCGAACGCUGGCGGUAGGCCUAACACAUGCAAGUCGAACGGCCGCACAGUAAGAGCUUGCUCUUACGGGUGGCGAGUGGCGGACGGGUGAGGAAUACAUCGGAAUCUACUUUUUCGUGGGGGAUAACGUCGGGAAACUUCCGCUAGUACAGCAUACGUCCUCCGUGUGAAAGCAGGGGAUCUUCGGACCUUGCGCGAUUGAUUGAGCCGGUGUCGGAUUAGCUAGUUGGCGGGGUAAAGGCCCACCAAGGCGCCGAUCCGUAGCUGGUCUGAGCGGAAGGACAGCCAGAUUGGAAGAGAGACAGAGCCCAGACUCCUACGGUGAGACACAGUGGGGAAUAUUGCACGAGGGGGGAGAGGCUAAUCUAGCCAUACCGCGGAAAGGAAGAAGGACUUCGGGUGGGAGAACGCUGUUGUUGGGAAAAAAAAACAGCAGUUUAAUACCCCGCGGUACUGACGGUACCCAAAGAAGAAGCCCCGGCUAACUUCGUG